rnacentral:lncRNA from 1 species
UUAAACUACCACCGGCUCUAUAAAUUUCACCCGUUGCCAUUGCAACACGAAACGAGGAACCCUCCCUGCAAAACUAACCAAACCCACUAAAACCCAGAAACCUUUCCUACAAAUUAGGAGGAAAAAAACCCAAAUUUCGAGCUCUGGAGCUGAAAAAGCUCAAAAUCAGAGAUGGGUCGCCUCCACCCUUUCCUCUAUGCAUGCAAUGCCGUCUCUUUGCAUUGCUAAAACUUUGUUCCAUGUUGGAAAAAUGUGAAGAAUGGAAGGUUUAUAUAUUGAUUGGAAGGACAGAAAAUGAGGCUGCUCAGAAGUUUGAAAACCGCUUAUUUUCCACUGACUUCAUCUAGACAAGUUGGCGGGGAAAAUCGAAUCUAGAAGAGGCUAUGAAAUUACGAAUGUCUCCAUUUUUUACUCUUCAAAUUCUUAUUUUACAUUUUCACAGUUCAUAAUUUUCAGCCUUCGAGUACAUUGUUUGUCAAGUAACUUUAAAGAAAUGUAAAUUGUUAAAUGUUGUCUACCUGCCGCGGCCUGUUUAGUUCCAGUUUUCAAAAAUGGUUUUUUGUUAUUGAAAAUAAAAAACACAAAAAAACUUAUUUAGGAAAGGGGAUGUGUUUUUGUUUUUGUUUUUUUUUUUGUGUUUUCGGUAUUCUCAAAAACCACUUUUUUUUAGAAUAAUAAAAAAAUAUAUUUUCAUUAUUUUUUCAAUAAAAUAAAUUAUUUUUCGUGUUUUUUUUUUUUCUUCUUUUUGUGUUUUCCUAGGUGCUUUUUAUGUUUCCACGAAGGUGAGUUCCACCUUCACAUCCACUCACAAACCUUUUCUUCUUCCUUAAAUUAUUAAAAUUAAUAUACUUAUACAUUAACUUUCAAACAUGUUUUUUGUUUUACUUAUUCUAAAAAACUUUUUUAUUAAUUCAAUAAAACAUGUUUUUUUUUUUUUGAGAACAAAAAUUAUUUUCCUAAACAAUUUUCAAAAAUAGCAACCAAACAGACCUUAACUUUUCGGUUUAGCUCAAAUCCCCCUAAAUUGCAAAUGUAAUUUUUUGUGGUUAAAAAGAUGAGGGAAAAGUAGGAUUGAUUUACUAAUAUGAAAAUACACGGAAAAACAAACCUCUUCGUUUAUUUAAAAAUAAUUUCAAAUACAUACAUUUUUUAAUGAGUCAUCUAAUUAUUCCCUAAAUUAUUUAUUGUCAUGUCAUUAAUAUUAAUUGAUAAAUGGAUUCUUUCACGUCAAUGUUUAUCUUCCUUUUAAAUUUAUUAUUAUUAUUAUUAGUAUUAUUAUUUUAUUUGGGAUUUUUUUUUCACUGCUUUUAUCAUUCAUACUCUUCAAACUAUCUCACUUUUAUGCAAGGAUUGAAAUAUCGGUAAACACGGAUAUAUCGGUACUUGGAUUUUACGGAUAUAUCGGAAAUAUCGGAGAAAUAUCGGUGGAUAUUUUUCAUCAAAUAUCGGUGAGACAAAAAUUAUCCAAAAUUGAUGGGAAUGUUUAAAAAAAGCCAAAGAAUGAUAAAAUAAGCAAGAAUAUGCAUGUUAAAGUUAUUUUAUAAGUGUAAUUGACAUAAAUAUGGUCAAAGAAAAAAAUAUCGGUAAAUAGUUUACGAUACUUGGAUUUGAAGAAUAAAAAAUAUGAAAUUUGGAAUUGUACACUUAGAAAGUUAGAAUUGAGUUAAGAAAUAUUUGAUUUCAUUAAAUGAAAACAAUUUACACAUAAACAUAAUACAUAUGACAUUGCAAUGGUCCUUAAUACCAAAAUGAAGAUCGAUGUGGUUCCAUCAUAUUGUUAUUGUUAGAUGAAGGGAGCCCAUCUUGUUGAAGACAAUAUUCAUACCAGGACAUGGAGUUUCGAUAGUAUUGAUUGUAUGUACGAACAUGCCAUGCAUAAAUUUCUUGAGUCCUACCAACAACUUGUCCAUGGAUAGGAAAUCCAGGGUNNNNNNNNNNNNNNNNNNNNNNNNNNNNNNNNNNNNNNNNNNNNNNNNNNNNNNNNNNNNNNNNNNNNNNNNNNNNNNNNNNNNNNNNNNNNNNNNNNNNUGAGGCUGCUCAGAAGUUUGAAAACCGCUUAUUUUCCACUGACUUCAUCUAGACAAGUUGGCGGGGAAAAUCGAAUCUAGAAGAGGCUAUGAAAUUACGAAUGUCUCCAUUUUUUACUCUUCAAAUUCUUAUUUUACAUUUUCACAGUUCAUAAUUUUCAGCCUUCGAGUACAUUGUUUGUCAAGUAACUUUAAAGAAAUGUAAAUUGUUAAAUGUUGUCUACCUGCCGCGGCCUGUUUAGUUCCAGUUUUCAAAAAUGGUUUUUUGUUAUUGAAAAUAAAAAACACAAAAAAACUUAUUUAGGAAAGGGGAUGUGUUUUUGUUUUUGUUUUUUUUUUUUGUGUUUUCGGUAUUCUCAAAAACCACUUUUUUUUAGAAUAAUAAAAAAAUAUAUUUUCAUUAUUUUUUCAAUAAAAUAAAUUAUUUUUCGUGUUUUUUUUUUUCUUCUUUUUGUGUUUUCCUAGGUGCUUUUUAUGUUUCCACGAAGGUGAGUUCCACCUUCACAUCCACCCACAAACCUUUUCUUCUUCCUUAAAUUAUUAAAAUUAAUAUACUUAUACAUUAACUUUCAAACAUGUUUUUUGUUUUACUUAUUCUAAAAAAACUUUUUUAUUAAUUCAAUAAAACAUGUUUUUUUUUUUUUGAGAACAAAAAUUAUUUUCCUAAACAAUUUUCAAAAAUAGCAACCAAACAGACCUUAACUUUUCGGUUUAGCUCAAAUCCCCCUAAAUUGCAAAUGUAAUUUUUUGUGGUUAAAAAGAUGAGGGAAAAGUAGGAUUGAUUUACUAAUAUGAAAAUACACGGAAAAACAAACCUCUUCGUUUAUUUAAAAAUAAUUUCAAAUACAUACAUUUUUUAAUGAGUCAUCUAAUUAUUCCCUAAAUUAUUUAUUGUCAUGUCAUUAAUAUUAAUUGAUAAAUAGAUUCUUUCACGUCAAUGUUUAUCUUCCUUUUAAAUUUAUUAUUAUUAUUAUUAGUAUUAUUAUUUUAUUUGGGAUUUUUUUUUCACUGCUUUUAUCAUUCAUACUCUUCAAACUAUCUCACUUUUAUGAGAUGUUUAUGAAAAAAAAAAUGUCUUAACUUUUACUAAGGUGUUUGUUUUUGGGAAAGAAAAAAAUCUCAAAUAAUAAUAAUUGUGGGAUGCUCACAACCGUCUAGCAUGAUCCUUAUGUGUCGUCAAGUGUGAUGCCUAUUUUAUGCAAUCGUCAUGUAUCUGUCUACCUCAAAAUGCAAACAGACAAAUCAUCGAGGCACUAUACAUUCCCACCAGUCAAGUAUUAAAUACAACAUAUAUUAAGUGCAUUAAUUGACAUAACCAUUACUAAGCAUAAAACAUCAUACUUCCAAGACUCAAAAACUAGUAAUCAUUAACAUUAAAGAUGGUAAAAUUGCAAUCAAAUGUAUAAUAAAAGCAUUGAGAAGACAUUACCUUUGAGCCUAAAUAAAUAGUCAUUAUUCAUAAAAAANNNNNNNNNNNNNNNNNNNNNNNNNNNNNNNNNNNNNNNNNNNNNNNNNNNNNNNNNNNNNNNNNNNNNNNNNNNNNNNNNNNNNNNNNNNNNNNNNNNNGAAUUAUGCAUAUAUGAAAUAGAUAAACAUUACAAUAAAAUUUUGAUAAGAAUUAAAUUAAAUUAAAAUAAAUUAAAUUUGCAUAUUCAUGAAAUUGAUAAGAAUCAUUACUAAUAAAAAUUAAAAUUGAAUUAUGCAUAUAUGAAAUAGAUAAACAUUACAAUUACAUUUCCAUAUGAAUUAGAAAAUAUCAAUUAAACUAUAUAUAACAAAUAAAAUUUAAUUAUGCAUAAUAAAAUAAAUUUUAUAAAAGGUAAGACAUACCUUAAUUAGCCUUUGACUUGGAGUUAAUCCCCUUCACCACCAAAUUUUCAAAAUAAAAAAUUUUUGCUAGAUCAUAUAAGAAUUUUGAUGUAUGAAAUGAAAUGGAAUGUGGGUAUUUAUAGGAAUUUUUUUGGUCAAACUAGCCGUUGGAUGGUCAAACUAGCCGUUAGAAAUUAAUUUUAACCGUUGGAUCAAAAUUUGGUUCAAAUUUCACCAUUAGAUCUUCAUAUAACCGUUGGAAACACUCCAUAGCCCUUGGAUAAAGUCAAGAUUGAUUUUCCACCAUUGGAUCACAAAUCUGACCGUUGGAGGCCUUUACAUACACGGGUGAAAUCUGGGCCAUCAGAUCCUCAAAAAUUCAAAAUUGGCCGUCAGAUCAAAAGCAGGGAAUCUUCAAAAAAAUCGCCGAUUUUUUCAAAAAAUCGCCGAUUUAUCGCGAUUUUAUCGGCAAAAAAUCGCCGAUUUUUUCAAAAAAUCGGCGAUAAAUCGCCGAUUUUACCGAUUAAUCGCCGAUUUUUUGCUGUCCUCUGCCGUCUUCGCCGCGCGUGGCUCCACUCGCCGAUGUUUCGCCGAUUUUUCGGUCCUCCACCGAUAUUUCGCCGAUAUAUCGGCGAUUUUGCCGAUUUUUGGCCGAUUUUUCCGUCAAUCGAUAAUCGGUGCCGAUUAUCGUUUCGAUGCCGCCCGAUAACCGAUAUUUCUCCGAAAUAUCGGCGACAUUUUCCGAUUUUUCAAUCCAUGCUUUUAUGAGAUGUUUAUGAAAAAAAAAAUGUCUUAACUUUUACUAAGGUGUUUGUUUUUGGGAAAGAAAAAAAUCUCAAAUAAUAAUAAUUGUGGGAUGCUCACAACCGUCUAGCAUGAUCCUUAUGUGUCGUCAAGUGUGAUGCCUAUUUUAUGCAAUCGUCAUGUAUCUGUCUACCUCAAAAUGCAAACAGACAAAUCAUCGAGGCACUAUACAUUCCCACCAGUCAAGUAUUAAAUACAACAUAUAUUAAGUGCAUUAAUUGACAUAACCAUUACUAAGCAUAAAACAUCAUACUUCCAAGACUCAAAAACUAGUAAUCAUUAACAUUAAAGAUGGUAAAAUUGCAAUCAAAUGUAUAAUAAAAGCAUUGAGAAGACAUUACCUUUGAGCCUAAAUAAAUAGUCAUUAUUCAUAAAAAAGAAGGUAUGUUGCCACUUUUCCAAAAAAUCUCUUGCUCAAGUUUUUUACAUCUGACUUAAGCUUUGAAAGGAUGUAUCCGAAAAACUCAUCCAAACAUUCUUUUGUGCAAGUGCAAUCGGUCGUCUACAUCACGUGGAGGCUAGCCGGAUACUUCAUUAUUGGUCAUGCACCAACAAUAACGAUAAUAAAUCUGAAAAAAAAAAAACAUUUAUGUGGACAAGUCUAGUUGUCAAUUAAGGUUGAUGACAUGACAAGUAACAAUGACAUUUUAAGGGAUAAUUAAAUGACUAAUUAAAAUUGCAUGUAUUUUAAUUUUUUUUAAAUAAAUAAAGAUAAUAUUGAUUUAAAAAUUUAGGUUUCUUUUUUUCCAUAUAUUUUCAUAUUAGUAAGUCAAAACUCACUUUUCCCUUAAAAUUAAAUUCAAAUUCUUAUUAUUCAAGGCAUUACAUUAGUUUGGAUUUAUCAAAUAUUAAAUAACAUAUAAAUUAAUAUUAAUCAUAAAUUCUCAUAAUAUGAAUCAUUGUAAAAGAGUAAAUUUAUGAACAUACAAAUUAAUAUAAUUGUAGGAAAAAGUGAGUAUUGACUCACUAAUAUGAAAAUAUAUAGAAAAAAUAACCUCAAAUUUUUUAAAUCCAUAUUAUCUUCAUCUAUUAAAAAAUAAUUUGAAAUACAUGCACUUUUUAAUGAGUCAUAUAAUUAUUCCCUAAAAUUUCCAUAAAAAAAAAUGUUGGUUACCAAUAAUCACAUCAAGAAUUUUACAUAAAAAAAUAAAAAAAUAAAAACAAAAAUAUAUUACUUUUUUAUAUGUAUCUCUAUCUCCUGAAUUGAAGAUGAAAUAAAAAAACAGAAGAAUGUCCUAAACAAUCAAGGUCCUUGAAAUUAACCUCAACGUACCCUAAUGAAAAAAAUCCUACAAAGACCUUGGAAAAAACCAUAAACCUUAUUCCCUGCAAACUCAAACUCACCUAUAGUCCGCUAAGGUUUUACCUACUUUUAAUUUCCACACUCUUCAAACUACCUCACUUUUGCUACGAGAUAUUUGUUUAUAGAAAAAAAAAAUUCAACUUUUCCUAAAGGGUCUUUGCUUUUAGAACAAAAAAUCUCAAAUAAUAAUAAUAAUAAAUAUCUAAAAGGAACAUAAAUAAUUACGUGGAGAAGUCUAGUUGUCAAUUAAUGUUGAUGACGUGACAAGUAAAAAUCAAAAUUUAAAAAAUAAUUAGAUGACUCAUUAAAAAUUGCAUGUUUUUCAAAUUAUUUAAAAAUAAAUGAAUAUGAUAUCAAUAUACAAAAUUUAGAGUUCUUUUUUUCCAUAUAUUUUCGUAUUAGUGAAUCAAAACCCACUUUUCCCAUAAUUAUAUACUCAAUUUAUAUAUUAGCCAUUGUUUGAUAAAAUCUAAAAUUAUUUUUAUGAAACCAAGGUUUGGUUCAUUGCGAUUUUGAUGAUAACAAAACAAGGUUUAGAACUAAUGAUUUUAUUUCAAGUGUGAUUAGGCAAGAUGAUUUCCAAAGUGGUAAUCACAAAGACAAAUCAAGUCAAGGAGAAAUUACGAAGAAGAAGACCACCUCAAAGAGAAGUGUUUUUCAAGACCUAAGUUUCAUAAGAUCUCUUUAUAAAGUUGUUGGUGUACUAGGAUUUUCAUACAUUACAUUCUUUACUUAUAUUCCAAAAUUAUCCAAGAGUUAUUUUGUUUUAAAUAUUUUAAAAUUGGAUGAUUUCAUGUUUUCAACUCAAACCUUGUGUCAAAAUGUUUUUCAAACUUGUUUAAAAGGUUUUAAAUUGAAAAAGUUGGUUGUUAAGCCAAAAACAGCUCAAUCGGAUGAGAAACCGAUCAACCGCCAGCUCAACCGGUUUAGGAGCAGGUCGACCUCCAGUUCAAUCAGUCAAGGGUGUGAACAGUAAUUGGUCGAUCGCCAGCUCAAUAGGUCGAUGGGUGCAAAAAACUUUAUCUCUCUUCCAAAAUGGUUGUUCAACUGGAUGAGGAACCAGUCGACCCAUACCUCAACCGGUCGAGGACCAAUUGAAGUCCAAUGGUCACCUACCAAGCAUUAAAUGCUAAUAACUAGUCAACCGGUCGACCCCCAACUCGACUGAUCGAACCCCCAAUGGCUAGUUUGAUUUUUUUUCCUCUAUAAAAAGGCUUCAAAUCUUCAUUGUUCAUGAGUUCAACUUUCCCAAACCUUUCUUGAAUAUAUUUGAGUCUUGGAAGAGUGUUUUGAGUGCACCAUUGUUCUAAAACUUGCAUAUCUUUAGUGCACCAUUCAAUCCUAGUUUUCUUAUAUCAUUUGAGCUUAAAGUUUUUGUACUAGGAUUUUGUAAGAUCAAUUAUUUAUAUAUCUUUGAGAGGAAGAUUCUCAAGUGUAGGGUAUCACUUGAGAGGUUGUUUAAGAGUGGGGUAUCUCUUGAGGAUUAUAAAGGGUGCUUAGAACCAAAAGUCCAAAAUAGUGAAUUGAAACCAUAAUCCAAUUGUAUCGCUUAAAGGCUUGGUUUGGAAGCCUUGAAUUAGUGGAACCUCAAGCUUGGGAUUGAAGCUAGAGAAAAAUGGAUGUAGGCUAGGUUGCACCAAACCACGAUAAAAUCUUGUGUUUGCAUUUUCUCUUCCCUACUUUUUUACUUUAUAUGCAAUUAUAUUUAUAUUGUUUUAUUAUAUACUUGCAUAUAUUUGUCUCUUACAUUCUUAAAAAACAUAAAUCUAUUUUUAAAAACUAUUACCAAGCAAGCUCUUAAUUCAUAUUUUCCACAUUUUAGGGUAAUUAAUUCACUUUCAUUCUCAUUUCUAUCAUAUUCAAAUUCUCUCAUUCCACACUCCAGAGCUUUUUCCAUAAAAGAAGAAUGGUCGUGGGUUUCUCAUUUUUUUUUUUGUAUGAAAUGUAAGAUAUUUCACUUUCAUUUCCAUUUCUAUUACAGUCAAAUUCUCCCAUUCGACACUCCAUAGCUUUUUCCAUGAAAGAAGAACCGUUGUGGCAAGGUUUCUCAUUUCCUUGUAUGAAAAGUAAGAUGAUUUCACUUUCAUUCUUAUUUAUAUCAUAUUCAAAUUCUCUCAUUCCAGACUCUAGAGUUUUUUCCAUGAAAGAAUAAUGGUCGUAAUCAGAUAUUAAAAUAUCGUGUUUCAGUGGACCACGCAGUAGCUCAGCCAACCACUGGAGUAAGCUUACCCCUUGUUAUAUAUACUGUAUCAAAUAUAUAUGGACUAAAACUCAUCAUAUAAACACAAUAUUAAAAUAAUAUUUUAAUGAACAAAUUAAUUAUAAUUAUUUUAUAAUUAAAUGAAAAAAAUCAUUUAAUUGAUUGCCAAAAAUAUAAAAUUAUCAUGAUAAUUUUCUUCAUAGUGUUUUUAAUAUCAUUAAUAUAUUAAUUAAAUAUUAAUAUAUAUCAUUUAUUUUACUCAAUUGUUAUUCACAACACUAUUUUUACUAAUGCAACAUUUUACAUUCCUAAAUUACCCUCCCUUAUUCCUUCCCCCUCUCUCUCCUCUCCCCUCUCUCUUCCCCAACCUCGCAUCCCAAUUGCACCCCUUUUUGAAUUUUUUUUCCCAAUCCCCACCCCACAUUUUAGCAUUUUUUUUCUUUUAUUUUUAUCUUCCUUUUCAUCUCUACAAACCCAACCCCCCAACCCACGUAAACUUCUUUUUUUUCUUUUCAUUUCUUUUAUUUUUUCACACUCAAUUAUUUUUCAUAUUCUUCUUAUAUUUUAAAACAAAAUAAUUUCUUUAAAUAAUAAAUUAUAAAAUGAUUUUAUUAUAUUCAAUGUUUUUUUAAAUUUGCAAAAAUAGACCAUCACCUUAUUCGCCCUCUUCUAGGGUGAUUACCAUAGGUUGGAUUAACCUAAUAUUUUUAAUAAUUUUUAAAAUAUCAAAAUCAAGCCCUAGAUAACUCACCAUUAAAAAAAAUAUUUAAUAAGUUAUAGAAAGUUCCUUUUAAUAUAUUUUUAUGGUAUAUGGUAGAAUUUAAAUAAAAUUAAUUCCAAAUUUUAAAAAAAAAAAAAAAAAUCAUUUAUAAAAGUUAUUAACCAUUAAUAAUUGAUAGUGGUUGGAUUAUACCAAAAAAAAAAAGGUUGUAUUUGUCUUGUCAUUGAUAUUCAUAAUUGAUAAUAUCAUAUAUUAAAAAUUAUUAACCAUUAAUAAUAAAUCAACACUGAUUAUUAAUUAUUUAGACCAUUUUUAUGAAAAAAAAAAUAGUGAAACUUUUAAAUUAAUACACCAAAAAUAGUUUUAGAAGCAUAUAGAGAAGAUUGAGAAUAAAAUUUGAGUUUUGUUGUGUUGUUGUUUUAGUGUUUUAAGUUUUAAAACUUGAGUCAAGUGAUUGUUAUUUGCUUUGUUUGGUUGUUGAGAAAAAUAGAAGAUUGAGAAUGAAACUUGAGUUUCAUGGUUAUUGCUUUGGUGUUUGAAGUUUUGAAACUCGAGAGUUGAAUGGCUGUGCUAGUAUAUAUCCUUUUUUGUAUGGAUUAUAACCAAAGCAUGGUGAACACACUUGUGCACACAUCCAAGAAUAUAUAUAUAUAUAUAUAUAUAUAUAUAUAUAUAUAUAUAUAUAUAUAUAUAUAUAUAUAUAUAUCAAAUUUGAACAACUGAAUAAUGAAAUUGUAUUGACCAUACAAAGAUAAUGAACAAACUAUGUAAAGGGUAUACAAGGCAAAUCAUGGAUUUUGAACAACUAUGCAAGACCGUUACAUUGACUAUAUAGGAUCAAUGAACUAACUAUAUAAAAAGUAUACAAAAUAGGACAUGAAUUUUGAACAACCAUACAACACAAUUGCAUUCACUUUAUAAGGCCAAUGAACUAAUUAUAAAAGCAAUGUAUUGUUUACAACUUAUUUUUAUCCCUCCUCGAAAUACCUCAAAGGUUUAUGACAAUAAAAAGAAAAAAAAAGUGUUAUUUUUCUUUUUCAAAUUUUAAAAAAUCAAAUAAAUAUAAAAAUAGAUUUUUAUUUUUUAAAGAUAAAAUUAAAAAGGGAAGAAAAAUAUGAUAAAUUUAAUUUUUUACCUUCCAAUUAAUUUGUAAAUAUUUUUAAAAAAAAAGGGAAAAUUCNNNNNNNNNNNNNNNNNNNNNNNNNNNNNNNNNNNNNNNNNNNNNNNNNNNNNNNNNNNNNNNNNNNNNNNNNNNNNNNNNNNNNNNNNNNNNNNNNNNNCCUCUACUCUCCUCUCCCCUCUCUCUUCCCCAACCUCGCAUCCCAAUUGCACCCCUUUUUGAAUUUUUUUUCCCAAUCCCCACCCCACAUUUAAGCAUUUUUUUUCUUUUAUUUUUAUCUUCCUUUUCAUCUCUACAAACCCAACCCCCCAACCCACGUAAACUUCUUUUUUUUCUUUUCAUUUCUUUUAUUUUUUCACACUCAAUUAUUUUUCAUAUUCUUCUUAUAUUUUAAAACAAAAUAAUUUCUUUAAAUAAUAAAUUAUAAAAUGAUUUUAUUAUAUUCAAUGUUUUUUUAAAUUUGCAAAAAUAGACCAUCACCUUAUUCGCCCUCUUCUAGGGUGAUUACCAUAGGUUGGAUUAACCUAAUAUUUUUAAUAAUUUUUAAAAUAUCAAAAUCAAGCCCUAGAUAACUCACCAUUAAAAAAAAUAUUUAAUAAGUUAUAGAAAGUUCCUUUUAAUAUAUUUUUAUGGUAUAUGGUAGAAUUUAAAUAAAAUUAAUUCCAAAUUUUUUAAAAAUAAAAAAAAAAUCAUUUAUAAAAGUUAUUAACCAUUAAUAAUUGAUAGUGGUUGUAUUAUACCAAAAAAAAAAAGGUUGUAUUUGUCUUGUCAUUGAUAUUCAUAAUUGAUAAUAUCAUAUAUUAAAAAUUAUUAACCAUUAAUAAUAAAUCAACACUGAUUAUUAAUUAUUUAGACCAUUUUUAUGAAAAAAAAAUAGUGAAACUUUUAAAUUAAUACACCAAAAAUAGUUUUAGAAGCAUAUAGAGAAGAUUGAGAAUAAAAUUUGAGUUUUGUUGUGUUGUUGUUUUAGUGUUUUAAGUUUUAAAACUUGAGUCAAGUGAUUGUUAUUUGCUUUGUUUGGUUGUUGAGAAAAAUAGAAGAUUGAGAAUGAAACUUGAGUUUCAUGGUUAUUGCUUUGGUGUUUGAAGUUUUGAAACUCGAGAGUUGAAUGGCUGUGCUAGUAUAUAUCCUUUUUUGUAUGGAUUAUAACCAAAGCAUGGUGAACACACUUGUGCACACAUCCAAGAAUAUAUAUAUAUAUAUAUAUAUAUAUCAAAUUUGAACAACUGAAUAAUGAAAUUGUAUUGACCAUACAAAGAUAAUGAACAAACUAUGUAAAGGGUAUACAAGGCAAAUCAUGGAUUUUGAACAACUAUGCAAGACCGUUACAUUGACUAUAUAGGAUCAAUGAACUAACUAUAUAAAAAGUAUACAAAAUAGGACAUGAAUUUUGAACAACCAUACAACACAAUUGCAUUCACUUUAUAAGGCCAAUGAACUAAUUAUAAAAGCAAUGUAUUGUUUACAACUUAUUUUUAUCCCUCCUCGAAAUACCUCAAAGGUUUAUGACAAUAAAAAGAAAAAAAAAGUGUUAAUUUUCUUUUUCAAAUUUUAAAAAAUCAAAUAAAUAUAAAAAUAGAUUUUUAUUUUUUAAAGAUAAAAUUAAAAAUGGAAGAAAAAUAUGAUAAAUUUAAUUUUUUACCUUCAAAUUAAUUUGUAAAUAUUUUUAAAAUAAAUAGGAAAAUUCAAAUAUUGCAAUUGAUUUUUAAGAUAAAAUUUGAAAACAAAAAAUAACAAUAACUUUCAUAUAACAUAUAAAAACUUUUAGAUACUUAAACCAAAAAGAUAAUGGUAAUAAAAAAAAAGUUAAAAAAAAAGUGAGGUUUUAAAAUUUAAUCCCAUCUCAAAUUCAAAAAUUUUUAAGGAUAUAAAACAAGCCUAUAUUUUUUAUAUGAAAAUUUUCAUUUUUUUAAGUUAUAAAAAUUAUUCUCAAUUUCUCCUUUUAAAAAUAAUGAACAAGAAAUGUAUUUAAAAAAAACCUUAUAUUGAAAACUUUUUAAAUGCCUAAUAAUUAAAAAAAAAAAAUUCUAAAUUUAAAAAUAAUAAUUUAAGUUUUAAAAUUAUAAAUCGUAUAUGGAACUUCUUCCCAUUAAAUAAUUGCUUACUUAAUUAUCCCCACAUGUGAUUUUCUAAAAACCCAAUUAAGGGUAUUUUGGGCAUUUUUGGCUCACAAAAUAUUGGUACGUCCUUCAUAGUAAUUUGGAGACCUGCUCUACCCCAUCACAACAAUUAUACAAAUUCAUGGUCUUUAGGGUCAUUAUCACCUUCAAGGCUUCAAUCACCCUUCGAUCAUAGCCGGCUGUAGGUGCAAUUUGGUCUCUUCUCAAUUUAUUAAUCACACAGGACAAAGUCCAAAAUCAAAUAUAUUCUAAAAAAUAGGUAGAUUCUUGGCAUGUGUAUCAGGAAUUUUACUUUUCAUAUGGAAAAUUGUGAUUUAUGGAAUGCGUGAUGGACUUUAAAUCCUAAAAAUAAUAAUAAAUAAAUAAUGAAAAAUAAGGCAAUUGUCUGCCUAAUUAUUGAAUGAUAAAAAUAAAAUAUUUUGUCACAUCUAUGGAAAGUUGACUUUGACAAUUACACGAUAGAAUAGGUCAAGCCCACUAGAUUUUCAGGAAAGUAGUAAGUAAAAAAUAAAAUAAAAUAAAUGAUAUUUUAGUAUUUUAUUGAGCAUAUAAAAUAUAAAAUAAAUUCAAAUAUAAUUAAAAUUAAAUUUAUGUAUUUUAAAUUUAUUUAAUUUUUAUAUAGAAGAGUUAAAAUAAAUUAAAUAAAAUUUAAAAAUAUAUAAAAAUAAUUUAUUAAGUUUAAAUUAUUUUUAUUUUUCUUUGCUUUCUUUGACUUCUGUUUUUACUCAUUAUUUUAUUACCAUAAUUUCCUCAAAAUUUUCAAAAUCCAAAUGCUUAUUGAAAUUUAUUAGUACAAACUUUGAAAUUUUGGCUUAUUUAAAUUUGAGUGCAGAAGAGGUCAGUAAUGUAGGGACCCCCCAGGACAUGUGGCACGCACCUCUAUUCGGGUCCCCCAAGGGGGGUAUACGACACUCUCAAAUAUCAUAUCCGGGCGAUGCUUUAUCCUAUCUGGACCUAUUGUCCGGAUCAUUGACUGUAACGAGCAAGUCUUGCUGAGUCAUCCCCGACAGUCUGCCACAACCCACGUUCCGUCGCCUGCAGAGCGAAAGAACAAGAGCGAUGACAAGUCACCUCCCACGAUCUUUGAUGAUGACCCUGCCACCACCUUGAAGACAUCAUGACAAGCCAAAAAGUUUUCCCACCAUUAAAGAGGGGAGCAGAGUUUCUGACAUUAUAUAAAAGGGUCUUCACACAAGGAGGAAGGUAAGCCUGAGAUCCUAAAAAAGCCAAUAGUCUGAUCUCUUAAGCCAUGACUAACAAAACCAUCGGAGGGUGUGUCCGGACAUCUUUUGCAGGAUCGACUGAGCCAGAACUCCUUCUUGGUUGAUAGCACGCGUCCACUUGGCAGCAGCAGGGAUCCCUGGGACACGAGGCAUCAACAAGUAAUGGCUCCUAAUACAUGGAAUAUGCAUAUCCCACCAUUUUUUAUCCUUCAAAUUCUUAUAUUAACACUUUCACGGUUCUUAAUUUUUAGCUUUUCUAUGUCUUAUAUGGGUAUAUUAGGCUAUGUAGUUUAAGAUCGACAAUUUUGUUCUAUUCAUUUUAGCUUAAAAGUGUCCAAUAAUAUGCUCUAUAUUAAACCUCUCUCAUGUUAGUAGCUUCAACAACAGUGAGUCAAGUCCGGGGGACAUGAUAGACAAACCCAUAUGACUAGUUCACAUUAUCAGGUCCUCUUGUACUAUAAUUAUGAAUGAAAAAAUAGACGUUUCUAGAAAUUCAUGGGGCUUAGUUCACUGGAAGUUCUUAUUUUUCUUGAGUCCAGAUAAAGAAAGAUUUGAUAUCUAGAAAUUCAAAAUCUUCUUGUCUUCACGCUUUCUGAUCAAAGCAAGUACUAAUAAAGAAAACAAUCAGAGCAUGACAGAUGUUGAACUUAAUAUUGUCUAGAUUCACCGAGUCGAUGAGGUUUUGAGCUUGAAAGAGUGAGUUCAAAUCCACAUGUCUGGAAAUUUGGAAGGCAGUGAUUCUACAAUUCAAAGUCCUAUAUCCACAUGUCUGAAUCUGAUCAGCAGGAUACCAAUGAAUGAGCACCAAGUUUAAGUAACUACUUUUCUUCAUGGGUCAAGCAUGGAACUUAGAAAUACCUCUGAACUUUCUGAAGAAGGCCAAAACUUCCCUUUUUGCUAGCUCAAGUCUAAAUUUAAGAGUGUUGCAAACCCUGCUCCUGAUACACGCUUGUUGGUUUUGAAAACAUACUAUUUUCAUGUUGUUACCGUGUCUUAAUGUCUUCAGCCACUUAAAGCAGAGACUGAAAGUGGAGCACCAUACUAGUAAGCAGGCAAUCAAGAUGAAAGAAUUGCUUAAGGUUACAUUAUUGUCAUGAAUUUAAGUUACAUAAAAUUGGGAGAAAACAAAAUACAAGAAUUUAACUAGUAUUAUCUGCUCAUUGCAGAGCUUUGGAUACUCUCUAACAGCCUAUACAUAGAACAAAACCAUUUUGUUCAUCUUACAACCAAAUGUUGAACUGAGAAUGUUACAUAUACAUUAACCAACCAUCUUUGAAGAACUCGUGCUUUUACCGCCUUUGGAAGUUAAAUGCCUUAAUGGCAAAGGCAAAGAUAAAUAAGAAAAGUACUGUAAACCCAACAAUCACAGCUGCAACCACUCCUAGAAAAUCAUGUUCGAAUCCAAAAUAGUCAUUCAAGUAUUGUUCCACUGUGUCACCUGUGUCCUCAAAUCUGUCCUGUAUAUCUCCAAACUGUGAUGUAACCAAUCCAUACAAAGUCCAUGCAACUGGACAUGCCCAAUAGUACCAUCUCCACCACACAGGAAUCCUCUGUAUUCAUCAUGGAAGAAAUGCAACAAAAUGAGUCAUUUCCAUAUCCAUGUGCUAAAGAUAGUUGCAAUUUAGAGAAUAAUGAGUUGAGAGAACUUACUGUUCGAGGAACUAUAAAACCUGAAAAUAGGUUCCAUAAUCCAUAAAAUGCUGCAGCAACGAUGGCAGCAAUAUGUUGAUUUGGUGUGGCAGCCACAGCCAUCAUGCCAUAAAAGGUGAAGUACAGUAAGGUGAAGAACAUGAAGAACAGAUACCAGAAGAACUUAGCAGCUGUCCAUUCAAAUCCAAUCAUUGCAUAAACUAUAACACCAUACACCACAGCUUGUGCAAAGACAUAUGGUAUCUCAACUAGAGCCUGAAACAAGAGAUGAAAUUUGAUUAAUAAAACCCAUAAAGUGUUAGAGAUAGACAGUCCAUAGCAUAAGAAAACUAGUUACCUGUGCAAAGGCAUAUGGCAUAGCUGAAUACAUUCCUGCAGCUCUUUCUCUGUAAAAGACUGUCCGUUCAACUGCAACGACUGGCUGCACCGAUGAGGAAUUUUGAACCCCAAGGAAGAGAACAGCAGCAUACAUAGAACCCAUUGCAUUACUCAAAUCUUGUUGUUUUUUCCUGAAUUUUACCAUGUGAAGUAUGAAUUAAAGUUGAUACAGAGAAACAUACUGAGUUCUCAAAAUCCUGUACUGGGUUCAAAUUACCUUUUGGUGCCGAGAUCCCAGAACAUUGUCCCAAAUAUCAAGGCUAUGAAAGUUGUGAAGAAAAAUCUCACUGCCGUGUAUGGUGGAUUGCGCCAAUAUGACCUACGCUGUUUCCAUAAGCAUGCCAUACAUUGGGUGAAGAAGGACUGGGAGUAUUGAGUAGGGAAAUAGAGGUCCUUUGAACCAGGGGCAGGUUGGCUCAAUUCUUUAAUUAAAUCUUUGUUUCUCCUGAAACAUAUGCCACAUCAGAAAAGGCUUCAAUAACCAAUUCAAGCUUGCAUGAUGAACAUUGAGAUGUGUAUACAUGACAUUUCAAUAUCAUAAUGCUUUCAGAUAACCUAUAGUUGAAUCACCUGUAUAGGUCCGAAUUUUUGUAUAUUUCAGUGAAAUCCACCCCCAACAAGAAUUCUUGUGCCGAAGAGGUAACUUCCAGCAUCCAAGUUGCAGGGUUAUAACCAUCUUUGAUUUUACUCACUCCUUCAAUUCCCUUAAUGAUAGCAAGUCACAUGUAUUAGUAAGCACUUGAUAUGAAUUAACUCAAACUAAAUUAUUUGCUGCUUAUAGCUUUUACUUUAUCAUGGCAGCUUACCUGAAAAUACUUUAUCAGAUGAGAAGAAUGUCUACCCAGUGGUCCCACAUAUAUCUCUUGUCCUCCUCGCUUCAACAGGAGCAACUGCAAAUCCAUUUUAAAUAUUUCAGUACUUAUAUGCAAAGCUCAUAGAAGGGAAACUAUAAAUUCUUUCUAUCCAUUAACAUUUCCCACCUCAUCAAAGGCUUCAAAGAUGUCAAUACUUGGCUGAUGGAUGGUGCACACAACUGUUCUUCCUGUGUCCACUGUGUUCCUGACUGUUCUCAUAACAAUUGCAGCAGCUCUUGCAUCUAGCCCUGAAGUUGGCUCAUCCAUGAAUAUUAUUGAGGGAUUUGCCACAAGCUCAACUGCAAUGGUCAGCCUCUUGCGCUGCUCUGUUGAGAGACCAUUUACACCUGGCAACCCAACUAGUGAAUCCUUCAAUGGGGUCAGUUCCACGAGCUCCAUGACUUCCUCAAUGAACAUCUGUAACCAUUAGCAAGGAUUAGAAAUUGUUUAAAAAAACAAUGCAAAGCCAUAGCAGAGAUGGUAAAAAAAUUGACACUGCUUGUGACUCUUUUCAGUUAGCAGGUUGUGAACAAGUUUCUCUAGUCUUAUUAAACAGAUCAGUUCAUGGUUGCCAAUGCUCAAUAACACCUAUUAGCAUGCAUGAACUUCACCAACUUGUAUUCCAGGUCAACCAAAUUUGAACCAGCACCUUUCCCCAGGGUGAAGGUCAAGCCAAAUUUGAACCUGAUCUAAGCUCAACCAAGUUUGAAAAAUCAAUUCUAGGGCUUUACUUGUUCAGAGCACUCAAUUGAAUAAGACAAAUGUGGAAAGAACUCAGGAAGCCCUCACCUUUCUAGUUUUAGAAUCCACAUCAGCAGGCAACCUCAGCCAAGCAGAGUAGAGCAAGGACUCAUGGAUAGUAACAUGAGGAGAGUGGAUGUCAUUCUGCUCACAGUAUCCAGAAAUUCGAGCAAAAGUCUCUUGCUUCUUUGGGUAGCCAGAAAUGUUGAUGUUACCCUCAAUAUAUCCACCAGUUUUCCGACCAGCCAGUACAUCCAUGAGAGUGGUUUUACCAGCACCGCUAACACCCAUCAGAGCUGUAAGAACACCAGGCCUGAAAGCACCACUCACCCCCUUUAGAAGCUCCAAUCUGUCUUCAAGGACACCCUGACUUUUCAUUUCCUACAAAUUCAAUUCAAACAACUUAGUUCUCAUUUUUGGUUUAUUAGUGCUGCUAAAGCAUGUACAUUAUUUGCAUUAACAUGGAGUUACCUCUGGCAUGUCAACUGAGUAUCUAAUAUCAUCAAAGGUGAUAGAAAGUGGUUGGAAUGGAAGAACCAUUCCUUUUUUGUUGUUACGUCUAGCCUCAGCAAUGGCUUCUGCCCUCACAGAUGAGGAUGUGGAUGAGAUGCUUCUCCCAAUUUCGUCUCUCCUCUCUGCAUGUUAAGUUUAAAAUUAGUGAGCCAUGUAAAACAUGUGGUUAAAUGACAAGAACAAAGGCACACAUGCACCAUGAAUGAGUUUCAUCACCUGUGGAUGCAGUUUGGUCAAUCGAGCCUCGUCUAUGGGAUGAUAACUCGAUCUUCCCUCCAGUUUUGGAAUUCUCAGACUCUUCUGUUAUAACAGCUUGAGGCUUCUCAAAUGCUGCACAAUUUGCACAAAUCUUAGUACACUAAUCUCCAAUAUUUUAGGAUUUUCAACACAGAGAAUGUAAGGAUACCCACCAUUUAGGUAAGUGAGAGCCACAGUGUAACAGAAGUUGAAGACUAAAAUGAAUCCAAGCAGUGCCCCAGCUCCUAUCCAGUACCAGUAUGCCUCUGUGAAGAACCCGCGAGACUUCAAUACUGCUACUCCAAGGGAUUCUGUUGAAUCGGUUGAAGAAUUCUGAAAAAUGGAAAUACAUUCAAUCAUCAGUUACUGACACAAAUAAACACAAAUAUUCACAUGAAACAUUCAUAAACUUACUUUGCUCCAACUCUUCCCAAGGAAUUCAUUUACCACUAUUGCGUUCUGUGCAUACAUCAGAGGGGAAGACCAGUAACCCCAAAUCCACCAUUUCUUGACAUUUUCUACAGCAAUGACCAAAUACAAGAAGGAAACAAAAAUUCAUUAUUAGGGUUUAUGAACAAGAAGGUCCUAGUUUCCUAAAAAAAAUCUUUCCUCCUUAUACCUCGUGACAGGACAAAACCACCCAAUGCAAAGAGCAAAAGUAAUGAAAAUGACCCAAAUGUGUUUGCAACAAUCAUGUUUCUACCAGCUGCUGCAAUAAAUCGAAACAAUGCAGAUGCCAUCUGAUUAACAAGCACGAGGAGAAGAUAUUGUUUAAACAACCUGCAAUAAGAAGAUUUGUUUAUUAGCAUUGAUCAUUUUGGAACAAAGAAAACAUUUGAAACAAAUCUGGACAUGUUUCUUUUACCUUCCCACAUUUGGAUCAAAUCCAAUGACAUAAUAAGACAUGAACACCCAAACAGCAACUUCAACAAAUGUGAUGGGGAUCUUGAGGAUCCAUGAGGGGAGUGCAUACGCCCAUGCAGGGUAGAAUAGUAGGCCUCUUUGCUUGUAAAAGACAGGAAGUUUUGCAAUGGUCAUGGCAAGUUCUGACAUUCCAUUAAACAUGAUCAUGACAACAGUGAAGAACAAAGCACCCGUGUAAAUGCUUCCAUCAUCUGUUGAAUUUUUGUGCAUCUCAGUUCUUAGGAAGAUUGUCAUGGAAAUUGCUGCCAUUAUUAUGAGCUAAAAGAAGAAACAAAAAUAAUAAAUUACGAUCAAAUGUACAAAAUUGAAAGCCAUUGUUAUAAGUAACAACAAUAAUAAUACUCACUUGGGUGAGCUUGAAAAUAUAGACAAAUGAAUUCCUCUUCAUCAGCAAGUACUCUCUUGAGAUGCAAGCAUCCAACAGUUCCUUCUUUCUAACACCAUAUUUUUCAGUUUUCAAAGCAGCUGGGUGGCUUUUGGUCUUGUCGAAUGGAGUUGCAAGCUCAUGUCCUAGUUUCCGUCCAAUGUGAAAUGACUGGAAUGCCUCGGCAAAUUCCUUGACUGUGACAAAACUGUAAGGCUCAUCUUUACGUGCCCAAUACUGCUGCUGAUCUUUCCUAGAUGUUACCUGUAAUGAAUUUUAAAAUUCAUGUUCUAGCUUGAUUUUUUCUAAAGAAGGAAAAAAAAAUUGAGAAGAUGCCUAAAGGUACAAAACUAUUAGCACUCACUUCUUGUAGGAAGUCUGCCACACCCUUCCUUUCAGGACAUCUGAAGCCCAUGGAUUCAAAAAAGUCAAGAACGUCUUCACGAGGACCCUGAUAAACAAUCUGGCUAUCAGAGAGGAGAAUGAUGUCAUCAAAAAGAUCGUAAGUCUCAGGUGCUGGCUGGAGGAGAGAGAUGAGAGCAGUCCCAUUGAGAAUGUGGAUGGUUUGCCUGAGAGAAUUCACGAUUUGAUAAGUUGUCGAGCUAUCCAACCCAGUAGAGAUCUCAUCCAUGAACAGUGCCUUCGAUGGUCCAACCAGCAUCUCCCCUGUCAUUCAUAUAUUUCACAGUUGAAUUAACUUAAAUUAAUGAACGAAAAAAUCUAAUUUAUUUUAUUUGGUUGGAAACCAAAUUAUCCUACCAGUUGUGACACGCUUCCGUUGUCCUCCAGAGAUACCCCUUAUCAUUUGAUCUCCUACCAAGGUGUCUGCACAGACUUCUAGUCCCAGAAUCUGUAAAUUUAAGUGUAAAUGAAAAUAAACAAAUUAUGACUUAGAAUUGGGUUUUCUCAGAAAUCUGCAUUCCAUCAUUGAAAGUUCUAUGGUUAUGAUACCUUCAGUGUAUAGUCAGUGAUUACAUUCUCCUUCUGGCCUUCCGUUGCCACUGCCUGAAAUAUUAAAAACCAAUAAUGUAAAUCUCACUCACCAUCAAACCAAUAAGUACCUUAAGAAAUUCCAAGGAUAAGAGAUUUUGCUCUGCAGAACUGGUUAAAAUUUCACUCAAAGUAGCUUCUGUCUCACCUUCAUGAAGACAUCGAUAUCAGGAUCAGGCUUAAUAUUUGCUGCCUUCUCUCUUCUUGAGAGCUCUGCUAACAUGUCUGCGAAUAGCCAAAUAAAAGUCAACCUCCUGGCUUAUGCAAAUUUCAUAUAACUAAAUUCACAAGCUUCAAAAACAAAGAAAAUAAAAGUAAAAGGCAAUGAAUGGUUUAGACCAACCAUAUCGAUCUCCAACACCCUGGCAUCUUGCAGAGAAGGCCAAGGUUUCCCGUACAGUCAUUUCUCCUAUAUGGGUAUCAUGUUGGCUGAUGUAGGUUGCAGUUCUCUGGGGUACAAAUUCAUUCAUGCCAUGACCAUUGUAUGUCACCUUUCCCGUAACCUAAAAGCAGGAAUUUCAGUUUCCAAAUUGGAUAUGAGAUUAAACAGCUAAAAAUUGAAUAUUCAUUAAAGAACAAAAGCAAUAAUUUUUUUUUCAUUCAACCUUUAGACUGGAAUCAAGCUUUCCGGACAAAGCCAAUAAGAGAGUGGUCUUUCCAGAACUUGGAGGACCCAAAAGCAAUGUCAUUCUGCAGAAAAAAAAUAUGCACAAAAGAUUGAGUAUGGAUCUUCAGGAUAUUCUAAAUUGGAGAAAGUAAAAAAAUCCAUUUGAUAGAUAUAUAUAUAUAUAUAUAUAUAUAUAUAUAUAUCUCAAUUAAUUUUUUUACAGAAAAAAAAAGAAAAAAAAUCAUAUUCUCACCUUCGAGGUUUGAUGAUUCCACUAACAUCGUGAAGAAUAGUGAGUUUCUUCUUUCUACUCGGAAGAAUCCGAAGAGUGUUCAAGAUAUCCUUUAAAACAGAAAGAAAAAUUAUAAUCUAAAAACAAACUUUCCCAAGAGAGUAUUUAUUGCUUAGCUAGUGAUCUGUAUUUGCAUUUUAGUUACCUCAAUUUGAUUAAAAGCAGAAUAAAUGAAUGAAGGCAAAGCUCUGCUUCCUACAUGAGCUUCUGCAUCAAUGGUAAGAUGCUCAAAUCUAACUUCAAUUUCGGGAAGAUCAAUCCCAACUCUGAAAAAUGAAAUAGACAUGCAAACCCAUUACUAAAAAGUCAAAGGAAGAUGUUUGGUUGUGAAGAAAAUGCAGGACUAUCAGUCACAUUUAAGGUGGAUUCUUUCUUUUCCACUGUUUUCAAUGUUAAAAAAGAAAAAGAAAAACGGCAAGAAAGGCAAGAGAAGAGGAGAAAUCGCACCUAUCUAUGCGAUUCCUGAGCUUCAACAAGAACUUCUCAUUGUCCUCUUCGGCAAUUUUCACCAACCGCUCCACUAAAUUCUUCUUUUCCUGAAACCCAAGGUUGUGUAUAUCAACUUCACUGGCCUCACCCGCCGAACCCAUCAGCAAGCCUUUCCUCAUCCGAUUGUAGGUGGGAAGUUUCUCGAGGGCGGCCCAUUUCAAAGCUUCCUCAUCAUCUUCAUCCCUCGAAGAACGGGAGAAAACCUCCUCACCAGAGUUCCUCCAUAUGGAAGAACUGUCCUUCCUUAAACUACCACCGGCUCUAUAAAUUUCACCUGUUGCCAUUGCAACACGAAACGAGGAACCCUCCUGCAAAACCCACCAAAACCCAGAAACCUUUCCUACAAAUUAGGGAGAACAAACCCAAAUUUUGAACUCUAGAGCUGAAAAGCUCAAAAUAAGAGAUGGUUCCCCUCCCGCUUUUCCCUGUGCAUGCAAUUGAUUCCGUCUCUUUGUAUUGCUAAAACUUUGUUGUAUGUUGGAAAAACACGAAGAAUGGAAGGUUUAUAUACUGAUUGGAAGAACAGAAAAAUGAGGCCACCCAUAAUUUUCAAGACUACUAAACGUCUUCGUAAUCGCAAUCGUAACUGCUGUUGUAUGCAAAUGCCACGAUGUUUGACCCUUCAAAGUCUUAUUUCACAAUUCGUAAUUUUCAGAUUUCCAGUACCUUGUUUGUCAAGGAACUCAAUAAUCAUUAAAUGUUUCCCAACUGCCAAACCAACUAACUUUCCCGCCCGCCGAAAUUGCACUGUGAAAGAUUUAUAGCAUUUUAUUUAUACUCUAGUUUAAUGACAUGAGACUUUCGGUUUGGAUUGCCUAUAUUAUUUUUAGUAAUUUACCUUAUAUCUUUAAAAUUAUUUCAAAAAAAAAACCCAUAAUAUUAAUUAUUAUAUAAGUUGGAUUUAUUAAAUAUUAAAUAACAUAUAAAUUAAUAUUAAUCAUAAAUUCCCAUAAUAUUAAUAAUUACAAAAGAGUACAUUUAUCAAAAAUUAAAUAAUAUAUAAAUUAAUAUAAUUGUAUAAUCAAUUCUAAAUUACACAUUAUUUAAUUAAAUCUAAAAAUAUUUUUAAAAUAUCAAAAUCAAGCCCUAAAUAACUCACCACUUUUUAAAAAAUAUUUAAUAAAAUAUCAAUUAUUUAUCUUCUUAUUAUUUUUUUAUGAUAUAUAGUAGAAUUUAAAGUGAAAUUUUAAAUUAACACACCAAAAAUUGUUUUAGAAGGAAAAAAAAUAUUUUUUUCUGAUAAUAUUUUUUAAAAUAUAUAUAUUUUUAGUCUAAAAUAUUUUUAAAGAAAAAAUCAACCUUUUGAUCAAAUUUUAAAAUAUUAUUAAAAAAUAAAAAUUAUUUAUAAUAUUAAAAAAAUUCAAAAAAAAUAUUUUAAUAAAAACAUUUUAAGUAGAAAUACUAUUUCGUAAGAUACAAGAUAAGAAUCGCACAUAAAAGCAUUAUAAAUUAUUAGAAUCGCAUCGCAUAAAUCAUACUAAAUCUAACAACUAACCAAACUCAUCCUCUCUAAAUUUCAAUUUGGUCUCUUCUCAAUUUAUUUUUGGAUUGCUUUUCAUCUAGAAAUAGCAACCACAUAAAGCAUAGGCCAAAUACUCUAAAAAUAGGUAGAUUUCUCAUUUCUCACAUGUAGCAUCUAGAAAAAAAAACCGGUAGGGUUGGCAGAAAUAUAGGAACCACAUAAAGCAUAGGACAGAUGUUAUAAAGAUAGGCAGAUUUCUCACAUGUUAGCAUCUAGAAAAAAAAACGGGUAUGGGCUGGCAGAAAUAUAGGAAGGUGGUGGUGUGUAACCAAGACUUUCAUUAUCCAAAUUCACAUUCUUAUGGGAAAAACGUGAUUGACUUCGACACUUGAAAAAAAAAAAACAAUGGAAAGAAAAAGGGAAAUCAUCUACCCAAAUACUUGAAUGAUGAAAUCAAAUCUUUGAUCAUAUCUGCUAGUUUGGAAAGUUCAGUUUGACAACUACAUUGAAGAAGAAAAAAAAAAUUAAAACAUUACAGGUUGUUUGUGAUUUAAAAAUAAUUUUUAAUUUUUUAAGAUUUUUAAUAUUAUUUUUGUCAUUAUUUUUCGAAAAUAAUAAUAAUUUUUAAAAAAUAAGAGUUAUUUUUAUCGAUUUUUAAAAAUAAAAAAAAAAUAUAGAUCUGUUUGAUCAUAUUUUCUUAAACUUAUUUUUAAAUUGAUUAAAAUAAAAAAAUAAAAAAAAUAUUAAAAAUACAUAUAAAAAUGGUUUAUUAAUUUAAAAUAUUUUUUAUUUUUUAUCUUCUAUUUUUUCUCAUUAUUUCAUUUUCAUUUUCCACUUCAAAAUUUUCAAUAUUCAACUAUUGAAUUCCGUACACUUUUUUUUUUAAUGAAAAAGAUGAGUUUUGACUUUUGACACUUUUUCAAAAAAGAUGCGUUUUGAUCCCUUCCCUAUAAUAAUAAAAAAAGAAAUAGUAAAUUUAUUGACGUCACUCCAUGCAUCAUCUUCCUUAAAAGUACAAAUCGUCCUCCUCUUCUUCUCUUACUAUGUUUUUUUUUUGUUUUCAAUUUAUUUAAAGAAAAAAAAAAAUCUUUGGUGUCCGGUGGAAUCAAUCGAAUGAACGAGUGGCUUCUAUUAUUACAAAUUUGAAAAUUUGGCUUAUUUUAUUUUUAAAUAUAGAAAAAAGGCUACAUGAUAACUCCAUAAUAUAUGGAACAUGCAUAUGCCACCCUUUUUGACCCUUCAAAUUCUUAUGUUCUCCGUUCAUAAUUUUCACGUGUGUUCAAGGAAGUAGGCAAGCCUACGUUAAACAAUAAAAAAGAUGUUUUAAAUUUUACCAAAAAAAAAAAAAGUCAAAGGAUUUUUUCAAAAGAAUCUUAAGAAGUAAUUGGACAUCUCAAUAAGAAAUUUUUAAAACUAUAAAUGUAAAAUAUUUUGUUGGCAUUUUAUUUAUAAUUUAAUAAACGUUUUCAAACUUUGGGUUUUUGGAUUACAUGUUUGGAUUAGUAAUUGAAAUGUUGGGAAAUAUCAACGAGGUUCGCCAUGAAUAUGGGAUCAAAAGUCAAUAAACGAUGUUUCAUUAGUUAAGGUUGCUGGCUCUCUUGGUCAAACUCCCUAAAAAAAGUUUAAGUUCCAAAAGGUUUGGGUUGAAGCUUGGCUACCACUAGGGUGAAUUCAAUUAAUAUAUGUGCACAAGUAUAUAUUAAAAUCCAUUAUUAAAAAAAUAUUUUAAUAAAUAAAUUAAUUCUACUUAUUUUAUUUAAUUGAUUACUAAAAUAUAAAAACCAUCAUUAUAAUUUUUUAACAAGACUUUUUUUUAUAUCAUUUAUGUGAUAAUUAAAUAUUAAAAAUAUAAAUAGGAUAAAAAAAUGCAUAUAAUUUUGAAUGUUUUUAUUUUAAAAUAUUGAAAAUAUAAAUUUAUUUGAAAAUUGUUAAAAUAUAAUAAUAAUAAUAAUAAUAAUAAUGAAGUUCUAAUAUUUUAUAAAUUAAAAUUAAUUUAAUAAGAUAAAUUAUUAAUAUAAUUUUAAUUAUUUAAAUAAAUCAAUGUCAAUAGCAAAAAGUUGUCACCAUAAGUAAUAAAAUUUUAAAAAUUAAAACUCAAAUAAAAUAUUUUAUAUAAGUCUUAAAAUGUAGUUAAUUUUUUUUAUUUGAAAUGUAAUAAAAUUUUUAAUUUUUAAAAUAAAUGAAUAUAAAUAUAUUAAAGGAAUUUGAGAUCAUUUUUUCUAUAAAAAAAUUUGAUAAAUAUUGUCCUUGACCAUACCUAUGUUAGUUACACCUACAAAAUAACUUUAACAUAUGUUUUUUUACUUAUUUUAUCAUUUAAAACUUUUUUAAAUAUUUUCAUGAAUUUUGAACAAUUUUCGUCUUAUCGAUAUUUCUGAUAUAUCCAUAAAAUUCAAAUACUGAUAUAUUCGUAAAAUCCAAUUAUUGAUAUAUAUAUACAUGUUUAUAGAUAUUUUCAUCUUUGCUUUGGAUGCAUUUUUCUAUUUUUUGUUUUUAAAUAGAAUACUUUAAAUGUAGAGAAAAAUAUAGGAAUUCUUAUAUAAAAAGUAGGUACAUAUCUUGUAUACAUAAAAACACUUUUUAAAUUUUAAAUAAGUAAACAUUUUCACUUCCAAAAAAUUUUAAAGUUUUGAAAAAAAAAUUAAAAUAUAAAGUAAAUUUGGACUUUUUGUAUAAGAGUUGUUAUAUUUUAUAUAGAAAUUUUUAUUUUUAAAAAUAAAAAAUAAGAAGUGUAUCUAAUAGCUAGACACCUAAAGUAUUUUUUUUACAAUUUUAUUUAUACUCUAAUCUAAUGUUUAUAGAUUGAGUUUGUAUUCAAGUUUAUAUUAUGAUCGAUAUAUUAAGGGAUGAAGCUAAAGUAACUACCGAAAUGUUAUUUAGGUGAGAAAUUAUAAAAAUUAUGAUUGUAAUAAAUAUUUGAUAAAUUUUCAUAAUUUAAAAAGUAGUUAACAAUACCCCUCAUUAUUAUUAAACAAAAUAAAAAACAAUGGACAUUAAUUAUAAAAAGAAAAAGAAAAUAUAUCUUAUAUCAAAUUGAAUAAGAAAAAUAUUAAAUACAUUGGUCAAGAAUAUUUUAGAUUUUAUAAAUAAAAAAAAUCAAAAAAUUAAAAGAUUUUUUCUUCAAAAGAAAUUUAAAAAAAAAAAAGUUAAACAUUUCAAUAAGAAACUUCUAAUAAUUUUGUUUUAUUAAAAAAAUCCUAAAAAUAAAUUUUUAAAAAAAUCAAUAAUUCCACUUAUAAAUUUCUUCUCUUUUUCAAAUAGCUAAAGAUAAUUGACUGAGGAAACCUUUCUAAAAAUAUAGUUUGGUGAACUCCACAAGUAAACUAUGAAUAACUAAGAAGAGUUUCGGAGUUAUUGUUUGUAAUUUAUAAAUAUCAUAUUAAGUUAUACAAUUUUUAUAAUUAAAGUUAAAUUCAAUAUCUCGUAAUUUGAGUCAUUACAUAAGAUUGAAUUUAUCAAAUAUUAGAUAACAUAUAAAUUAAUAUUAAUCAUAAAUUCCCAUAAUAUGAAUCAUUACAUAAGAUUACAUCUAUCAAAAAUUAAAUAACAUAUAAAUUCAUACAAUUUUGUUGGCAAUUCUAAAUUAGUGAUUAUUUGAUUAAAUCUCAAAAAAAAAAAUUAAAAAGUCAAAAUCUAGCUAUAAAAAAUUCGCCACUGAAAAAAUUUAAUAAAAUAUUGUUAAAAUAACGAGAAUAGGUAAUUUAAAAAAAACACUAACAGACAAAAAACACAUAAAUUUACGUGAAAAACUCUAAAUGAGAAAAAACACAAGUAGAAAAGACAGAAAUCCAUUAUAUCAAAAUAUUGGUAUAAGAGGGAAAAGUUGCCAGCAAUUACAGAAGAAACAUAAUUAUCCUAAUCCUAAAACUAUACAUCAUCAUAAUCCUCCCAAAAAUCUCAUAAUUAUAGUUUCACUACAUAUGUUGUACCACAAGGUUUUUGAAUCGGAUUAAAUAGAAUUCGGAUUACCAAAUUCUAAUAAAUGUCAACGAUAAAGUUACAAAAAAUUUAUUUAUUAUAAAUUUUAUGGUAUAUAGUGGGAUUUAAAUAAAAUUAAUUAUAUAAAUUUUCAAUAAAAUUAAAUAAAAACAAAUAAAUCAUCGAUAAAACCUAUAUACAUUCAUAUUUAUUUACUUAUUUUUUUUAUUUUGAUCUUCAACAAGUUUUCAAAAAUAAAACAUUCAUUUUUUCAAAUAGAGUUCAAGUGUGACCAUGAUGCAUAUCACCUUUAUGAGAAUUGCAGGCCCACACUCAAAAUUUUAAAUAAAUAUUUUUAAAUAAUAAUAAUAAUAAUAACAACAAAAAGAAUAAUAAUUAAAUAAAUAAAUAUGAAAUGGGAAUUUCGGAAAAUUAUUCUAAAAUGAAAGUUUUAAAAUUAUUUGAGAAAUGGAAUUAUGAAAGGAGUUUUGGAAAAUUGGAGUUAGGAAAAUUGUUAAAAUAAUAAGAAAAUAAAUAAAAAGUCAAAAUCUUAAUGGGGCCAUGUGCCAAAGUGACCACACUUAGAGGUGGGCCAAGGUCGAAAAAGGUUUUCAAAUGAUGUUUGAACAUCCUGGCAGCCCAAAGAAAAAUAAAACAAAAUCUUGCAACGUGCACAUCCAUGAAUUUACAUCUGUGGCCCCACCAUUCAAUAUCACCGCCAAACCAGAAGAAAACCCACAAGUCCGCAGGCCGUCCUAUGCCAUCAGCAAUAAGCACAAGCUCUGAUUUCUCAAAUUACAAAAUAGCCCCACGGAAAGAAAUUCAAUUUCGAAUCUCCACCAAAAACUCCAAUAAUUGCCUAUCGACUUCACCCAAACUGCAAAACACUAAGGCUAUGUUUGAUUUCCGGAAAGUACGAAGGAAAGAAAAAAAAUGCUAAAGAAAAUGAUUUUCUCAUAUUUGAUUAUCCUAUGAAAAAUAUCAAAGAAAAUAAAAUAUAAUUAAAAUUAAUUAAAAAUUUAUAUAUUUUUAAAUUAUUUAAUCUUUAUAUUGAUGAGUUAAAAUAAAUAAAAUGAGUUUGAAGUAACAAAAAAAUAAUUUAUCAACUUUUAAUCUAUUUUUUUAUUUUUCUUCACUUUUUCUUUCCUUCUAGUUUUCCUUUGUAUUUUCUUUCCCUCGUAUUUUCCCUCAAAUUUUCCGGGAACCAAACAUAGCCUAAUAAUUCAACCACCCUCCAGACCACGCGUAGACGCUCCACUUCCACAUAUUUUGGCACGUAUUCUGUCAAGAUUAUUGGAUGCUGCCCAUGAGGCCUGUUAAUUAGUCGAAUGGUUCUCAACCGAGCCUAAAGCUUUGUCGAGUCAUAACCAGCUUCCCCGUGUUGUUGGCUCUCAGUGAGGGAUACUUCGGACUGAAGACCUCUCUACCAUAUCUCUCAUAAUGUAUCAUGGGCAGAGAAGCAAUGGAGAUUGGAUUGAUUCUUCUUGCUUUCAGGAGCUCUAUUAACUCCAAUUCCAACUUAACUGGAAAUUCCGAACCAAUAAGAGUUAUGGGACCCGUACCCACACCGGAAUUUUCUACUAUCGUCUCCGGAUAACACGCCACCGCAUGGGUCAAUCAGGUUCGUUUUGUAUGCUGUCACUGUAAAUACUCUGAAUAAUCCCCCAAAAAUCUCAUAAUUAUAGUUUCACUACAUAUGUCAUACCGCAAACUUUUUGAAUCGUACUAAAUAAAAUUCGGAUCACUAAAUUCUAAUAAAUGUGACAAAGUUACAAAAAGUUUAUUUAUUAUAAUUUUUAUGGUUUAAGUGGGAUUUAAAUAAAAUUAAUUUAAAAUUUUUCAAUAAAAUUAAAUAAAAACAAAAUAAAUCAUCGAUAAAAACUAUAUACAUUCAUAUUUAUUUACUUUUUUUUUUAUUUUGAUCUUCAACAAGUUUUCAAAAAUAAAACAUUCAUUUUUUCAAGGGAGAAUUAUCUUUUGGGGGUAGAUGGGCCCUCAAAUUAACAAAAGGUUCAUAUAACUCUUGAAAUUGAGUUGAAGGAUAUGAAAUAAUAACGGACAAAUAUACCCUUUAGGAACACAUAUAAAAUAUUUUAUAAAAUUAAGUUAAAUAAUUUUUUUUCAAUAACUUUUUUUUUUUCAAAAAUACUAAAUUAAAUAAAAGUAGUUUUCAAAAAUAUUAAAUUAAAUAAUUUUUUUUUUCAAAAAUAUUAAAUUAUUUUUUUUUCAAAAAUAUUAAAUUAAAUUAAAGUAUUUAAAAAAAUAUUAAAUUAAAUAUUUUUUUAAAUAUUAAAUUAAAUAAAUUUAUUUUUAAAAAAUAUUAAAUUAAAUAAAAGUAUUUUAAAAAAUAUUAAAUUAAAUCAAAAAUAUUAAAUUAAAUAAAAGUAUUUUUCAAAAAUAUUAAUUUUUUUCUCAAAAUCAACAAAGGGUAUUUUUGGAAAUAUUGAAAGAUGAUAUCCUUCAACUCAAUUUCUAUACUUUCAUUGGGUCUUGGGCUCAAUUUGAAGAGUUACAUGGACCUUUUGUUAAUUUGGGGGUCCAUCUACCCCCAAAACAUAAUUCUCCUUUUUUUCAAAUAGAGUUUCAAGUGUGACCUUGAUGCAUAUCAUCUCUAUGCGAAAUGCAGGCCCACCCUCAUGGUGUUCUCUAUUCCCUACUAAAAUAAUUAUUCCUUAGUGGAGCUAAAUAUCCCCAACUCAUUGAGGCAUCCCCAACAAUUGUCAUUAUUACAUCCUUUAUUUCCCAACAACUUUCAUGAAGAGGUAAAGGUACUUUGACAUUCUGCCUAAUAUAGCCAUGGUAAGGCUUCUUAUGAGCAUUUUGCAGUUUGGUUUGUGUAUGGGGAUCAAGCAACUUUUUAAUGUAGAGAAGACUAUACAUUGUGCUAGCAGAUUCUUCAAUGCAAACAUGUUAAUAUAAGAAUACAAACCUUAUAUUUUUAUCUACCAUAUAUUGAUAGGGAUAUUCCAAAUAGUUUCCAAUAUUCUAUAAGAUAUUUAAUUGUAAUGACAUAUACUUAGGAAUUUGAGAUACUUUCUAAUAAUUUUAGUCUCGUAUCAAAUUCAAUUAAGUUAAUCUUUCAUCUUUUCAUGAUACACGCUUUCAAAAGACUUGUUUUAACCAAAUUCUAACUCCACAUCAUGACCAAAUCUUUACUUCACAUCAUAACUUCUUUAUACGCCACACUCUCCUCAUGUGUCACAUGGUUCCUUUUGUGCACCUCAUGUGUCACAUGGUUCCUUUUGUGCACUAUAGUCUUAUCAUGUGUCACGAUUCCCUCGUGUGCUAUGGAUUUAAAAUCAUUUUUUUCCAUUUUAAACAUGUUAUUUCUUUAUAGCAUUUACUGUCUUUUUCAUUCAAGUUUCCUUUUCCUUUACUUUUAGUAGGACAUUGUUAUAAAACUCUACCUCUCACUUGGUCCGUAGGUUCCUUAUUACACUACCAACACACGCUCUAUUCAAAUUAUAGUCUAGUCUCAAUGUUAAUUUUGCAGAGUUAGACGAUACCCUUACGUGUAUUUCACCCUUGUUUGGAUGGCAAAAAAAAGUUUAGGAACUCACAACGAAGUAGGGAUUGAUGUUGAAUUUGUUAUGGGAUGAUGAAUAGAAUACUUUCCUUCUUACUCCUCUAUUCUACAUAAAUGCACAUACGGACAAGUUCGGUAUAAGUUUGUACUAACUCAAUUGGUAAGUGUCACUUUUUUAAUUAAUAGAUGUUGACAAUUUUGUCUUAAAUUAUAUAUUUUAGUUUUAGGAAAAUCGGUAUAUGUAGAGUUUAGCUUUUAGAAAACUCCCUUUUUAGGUUGACUAAGACUAGGAACUUAUUGUUUAGGAUUAGGUCUAUAAAUAUGUGGCCUACAUAGGAUUUUUUUAAGAGAGUGAAAAGAAAGUAAGUGCAUCCAAUUAAGUGAAAUUGUGUCCUUUUUCAUAUUUAGUAGAUUAUUUAACGUUUGAGAGACCACAUUUGUGUGACUGAUUUAUUUAUAUUUGCAUAAGAAUUUUACUCUCUUUAAAGAAUAAGUAUAAAGAGACAAACUUAAAAUAGGUAAUAAAAUAUUAAUUUGGGGAUUAAUUCAAAGACCACACCUUCUCUAUUUCACUUUAUUUUUUUACUGCAUUUGGAUGUUGUGAUUUUCCUAAAAAGUGGUAUCAGAGCCGUGCAGAGAUAAUGGAAAAAUUAUUUUGAUGAAAAUGUCUAACAUAAAAUAUAAUAUUGAGUUCUUUGAUGGAAAUAAUAAUUUUAGUAUUUGGCAAAGUAUUAUUAAAGAUAUUUGGGUACAACAAGAACUUCUCAAAGUGUCACAAUAAAAAAAAAAAAAAAAAAAUCAGAGAACAUGAAGAUUAAUUAGAAGCAAGAAUGGUAAGUGCUAUUUAUCUAAUUUUGAUUCCUAAAAUAAAAUACAUUUUUUAAAAAUGAGAGAUCUCUUUUUUAUUUAUGAGAAAAUUUAGAGAAAAUUUAUAAGCCAAAAUUCUUAACACAUAAAUUAUAUUUGAAGAAACAAUUAUAUGAGUUGAAGAUAGAUGAAGGAACAAAUGUUAGGAAUCAUACAAAUAAAUUCAAUAAAUGCAUGACUUAGUUAUUAAGGGUAGUGGUCAAGAUUGAUAAGAAUGAUCAAGCUAUUAUUUUCUUAGUGUCUUUACGAAAUUAUAUGAGACAUUGGUGAGUACACAAUUAGUUAGAAAGAUGAUAUUAACCAUUAAUGAUCUAUCAACUACCCUUUAAAUAUUGACCAACCAAGUAAUUCGUCUUGUACCGCACAAGCUUUUGUGGUGAAGUUUGAAUCAAAUCGUGAUAAGAGUAAAUCACAAGGAAGAUAUUAUGAUAUGAGGGAUGAUUGUUCUCAACCACACUUCUAGAGGGAUGUGGAGUUUUACUAUUGCCUCAAAAAAUGACAUAUCAAAAAGUACUAUAAAGAAUUGACAAAACACUUAGAAUCAAAGAGGUAAGCUAAAUUCUAGGAGACUUCAAAUUUUACUAAUAUUGUUGAUAAAAAGUUUGAUACAGAUAAUGUUGUUCUUUUUAUUAUAAUUGAUGAUUUUUUUUUUUUUUUUUUUUACUUUUAGAUUUUGGAUUUUGAAUGUUCUUUUCAUAUGUACCCAUAUUAUAAGUGGUUUGAUACCUAUAAGACUUGCGAUGCUAUUACUAUUAUAAUGGGCAAUGAUUCAAACUAUAAAGCUAUUGGGAUUAGUAUUGGGAAGGUGAAGAUAUUGGAUGGUGUUGUGAGGAUAUUGAGUAAUGUUAAGUAUGCUCCUAAGUCGAGGGGGAGUUCAAUUUCUUUGAAGACUUUGGACAAUUUCAACCAUGACUUUUUUGCUAAAGAAGACAUUAUGAAUAUUAGUAAAGGUGCUUUGAUAAUUAUGAAGGAAGAAAGGUGAAAAUUUCAUACACUUUGAUUGAGAAUACAAUUUUAGAUGCAAUUAUGAUGGUGAAGUCAUGCCAUGAAGUGUCUUAUGCUAGUGUUAAAGAAAUUGUCAUAGCAGAAGAGCACAAAAAAAUACUGGUAGUAGAUGAAAAACACAGAAGUGAGAUGAUCAAGGCUUUGUUUUUGGUUAAAAAUACUUAGUGGCACAAAGAUAAAGACUAAUUGAAAAAGAAAAGUUAUGAAAAAAAGAAUGUUCAUCGAGUCAAAGCUAAUGAGAGACUGAACUUGACAUAUACUUAUUCUCAUUGAUUAUGUGGUGGUGGCAAGGGGUGCAAAGAUGGGUAUCAAGGAAAAAUAACCCUACAUAUAGAUUGAGAAUUUGAAUCAAGAUGGAGAUUAUUAGUAAUUUUGACUUAAAUUAUUUAUUUUUUAUUUUUAGGAAAGCCAAUAUUUGUUGAGUUUAGGUUUUAGUAAAUUACUUUUUUAAAUUUGACUAGGAUUAGGAAACUUAUUUUUAAGGUUAGGUAUAUAAAUAUAUGGUUUUACAUUAGAUUUUAGGAGAAAGUGAAAAAAUGAGCGAAAAAUAUAGAAAGAUAGACAAAUUAUGUAUUGGGUUUUGGUAGAGUGACGUUGAGAAGGUUUGAGUAUAUAUUUUUUAAGUUACUAAUAAAUUUGAUCUCUCUCUCCCAUGAAAUCAUGUAAAUCUUUUAUCUUCUCUAUUUUACUUUAUUCUUUAUAUUGUCUUUGGGUGUUGCAAUUUCCCAAUAAUAGAAUGGUUUGAUCUUAUUUUGUUUCUAAGUAAAAUGUAAAUAAGUUAUCAGGUUAGCAAAUUAUUCAUAUACAUUAUUUUUUUUAGUCAUAUCAUCCAUGAACUUUUUCAAGGUGGCAACCUAUUUGGAAAAACCACAUUUGAUUUAAAAAAAGGAGAAUUGUGUUUUGGGCCAAUUGGGCUCAAAAAUUAAUCAAAGAUCCAUAUAUCAUGCACAUUUAAGCCCAAGACUCAAAUAAAGUGUAAAAAAUUAAGUUGAAUGAUAUUAUCCUUCGUUAAUCCCUCAAAUACCCUUAACACCUACAUAGAUAUAUAGUAAGUGUAAAUUUCAAUUUUUUUUUAAGUGUUUUUUUCUCUUUUCUAUUCCCAAUUAAGUAUUACUCAUUUCUAACUUUUUGUUUUUUCUUUUCUUUUUUAAAGAUAUUGAAUCUUUUUACUCUUAUUAUAAGUAAGGAUAAAAAAUCUUCAUAUAAAAUUUAAUGGAUAAUCAAUGAAUAAAAUUUAAUUCUUUUUAUUAUUUUCAUAUAAAAAAUAGUACUAAACAAGGGUUUCAAUUUUUAUUUUUAAAAAUAGUUUUCAUUUUUUAAUUAAAUGUUUUUUCAAAAAGAAAUAUAAAAAUAUAAAUCAUAUUACCAUUUUUUAGAAAGUAUUUUUUUUAAAUAGUUUUUGAACGUAAUUUUUCUUUAUUUAUAAUUUAAAAUAGAAAAUAAUGUUGAUUUCAAUUAUUUAAAAAAAAUUAAAAAAAAACAAUGAAAAAUCCAAAUGGUUAAAAUAGAAUUAUUAUGAUUGCAUGAAUCGUAGUGCUAUAAAGACCAAAAAAGUUUAUAUGAAAAGUUAAUGAGUAUUUUGAUCUUUUGAUAUCUUAUAUCAUUUCCAUCAAUUAUGUAAGUUAUAUGGACGAAAUCUUAAUUUUUUUGUCUAACUCGCUCAAAAUUCCAUUAUCCCUUUAAAAAAUAAAAUAAAAAUCAAAUCCUCCUUAAACAAAGGAAAGAAAAAGAAACAACAAAUCUUGAAGUGAGGUUUCAACAGAUCUUUGUUCAAUAAAGCAGCCAAGCAUUAUGGGGCUUAGUUGAAAGUACUCAUUUUCAUGAGUCCAAACAAUGAAAGAUUUGAUAUCCAGAAGCAUUCACCUAGUCAAAAAAUUUAAUGAGUUUUUCAGCUUGGUAGAGUCAGGUCAAAUCCACAUGUAGUGAUUCUACAAUUCAGAAUAUAACUGCUUCACUUGGAAAUGAUCAUCAGGAUACCAAUGCAUGAGCACCAAAUCUUCUGAACUACUUUUCUUCAUGUGUCCAGCGUAUAAGUAGAAAAUGGAUCAGUAAGUGCAGGCAUGGAACUGUUGGCAAUAAGUCUGAUCUCUCUGAAGAAGGCCUAAGCUUCCCUUUUUGCUAGUUCAAGUCUAUAGAUGUAAUAGUUCUUGGAAAUGGUAUCUGAUUUCAGACUGGUUGGUGUUGAAACCAUACCAUUUUCUUGCUGUCAUUGUGUCUUAAUGUUUUCAGCUACUUAAAGAAGAGACUGAAAGUGGGGCACCAUAGUGGUAAGUUGGUAAUCGGGGAUGAAAGAAAUGCUCAAGGUUGUAUCAGUCUUGAAUUUCAAAUUGCAUAAAAUUGGCAGAAAAAAAAAUACAAGAAUUUAAUAAGAUAGAUGUUACCUGCUCAUUGCAGGGCUAUGAAAACUCUCUAAUAGCCUAUACAUCAAACGAAACCAGUUUUUUUCAUCUUAAAAUCAAAUGUGGAACUGAAAAGGUUACACACAUAUACAUUAACCAAGAGUCUCUGAAGAACUUUUGCUCCGUGUGACUUCUUAUCGCCUUUGGAAGUUCAAUGCCUUAAUGGCAUAGGCAAAGAUAAAUAAGAAAAGCACCACAAACCCAACGACCACAGCUGCAACCACUCCUAGGAAAUCAUGUUUGAAUCCAAAGUAGUCAUUCAAGUAGUCUUUCACUGUUACACCUGUGUUUAGUUCUUCUGUUAUAUCUCCAAACUGUGAUGUAACCAAUCCAUACAAAGUCCAUGAAACUGGGCAUAUCCAAUAGUACCAUCUCCACCACACGGGUAUUCUCUGUAUUCAUCAAGGAAGAAAUGCAUCAAAAUGAGUCAUUCCUGUAUCCAUGUGGCUAAAGAAAGUUGCAAUUUAAAGAACUAUGGGUUGAGAGCACUUACAUUUCGUGGGACUAUAAAACCUGAAAAGAGGUUCCACAAUCCAUAAAAUGCUGCGGCAACAAUGGAAGCGAUAUUUUGAUUUGGUGUGGCAGCCACAGCCAUCAUGCCAUAGAAGGUGAAGUACAUUAAGGUGAAGAACAUGAAAAACAGAUACCAGAAGAACUUAGCGGCUGUCCAUUGAAAUCCAAUCAUUGCAUAAACUAUAAGACCAUACACCACGGCUUGUGAAAAGAUAUAUGGUAUCUCAACUAAAGCCUGCAACAAGAGAUGAGAUUUGAUUAAUAAAACCUAUGAAGUAUUAGAGACAGACAAAGUCUAUAGCAUAAGAAAACUAGUUACCUGUGCAAAGGCAUAUGACAGUGGUGAAUACAUUCCUGCAGCUCUUUCUCUGUAAAAGACUGUUCGUUCAACUACCACAACUGGCUGCACUGACUGGGAAUUUUGAAUCCCAAGGAAGAGAACAGCAGCAUACAUUGAACCCAUUGCAUUAAACAGAUCUUGUUGCGUUGACCUGCAUUUUACCACGUGAAGUAUAAAUCAAUGUUGAUAAAAAAGAAACAUACAGAGUUCUCAAAUUUUUGAACUGACUUCAAAUUACCAUUUGGUGCCCAGAUCCCAGAACAUUGUCCCAAACAUCAAGGCUAUGAAAGUUGUGAAGAGAAAUCUCACUGCCGUGUAUGGUGGGUUGCGCCAGUAUGACCAACGCUGUUUCCAUAAGCAUGCCAAAAAUUGGGUGAAGAAGGGCUGGGAGAAUUGAGUACGGAAAUAGAGGUCCUUUGUACCAGGGGGAGGUUGGCUCAGUUCUUUAAUUAAAUCUUUGUUUCUCCUGAAACAUAUGCCACUUGUUAGAAAAGGUUUCAACAACAAAUUUAAGUUUUCAUGAGAAACAUUAGGAUGGCUGUAUAUUAUUUUUCAAUCUUAUAAUGCAAUUAGAUAACCUAUGGUUGAAUCACCUGUAUAGGUCCGAAUUCUUGUAUAUUUCAGUGAAAUCGACCCCCAAAGUUGCUUCUUGUGCUGCGGUGGUAGCUUCCAGCAUCCAGGUUGCAGGGUUAUAACCAUCUUUGAUUUUACUGACUCCUUCAAUUCCCUUUAUGAAAGAAAGUGAUAUGCAUUAGUGAGCGCUUAAUAUGAAUUAACUCAAACUGAAGUAUUCACUUCUUAUAGCUUCUACUUCAUCAUGGCAGCUUACCUCAAAAUAAUUUAUCAGAUGGCAAGAAUAUCUGCCUAGUGGUCCCACAUAUAUCUCUUGUCCUCCUCGCUUCAGCAGGAGCAACUGCAAAUCCAUUUUAAAUAUUUCAGUACUUAUAUGCAAAGAUCAUAGAAGGGAAACUAUAAAUUCUUUCCAUCCAUUAACAUUUUCUACCUCAUCAAAGGCUUCAAAUAUGUCAAUACUUGGUUGAUGGAUGGUGCACACAACUGUUCUUCCUGUGUCCACUGUGUUCCUGACUGUUCUCAUAACAAUUGCAGCAGCUCUUGCAUCUAGCCCUGAAGUUGGCUCAUCCAUGAAUAUUAUUGAGGGAUUUGCCACAAGCUCAACAGCAAUGGUCAGCCUCUUGCGCUGCUCAGUUGAGAGACCACUUACACCUGGCAACCCAACUAGUGCAUCCCUCAAUGGGGUCAGUUCCACAAGCUCCAUGACUUCCUCAAUGAACAUCUGUAACCAUUGGCAAGGAUUAGAAAUUGUUUAAAAAACAAUGCAAAACCAUAGUAGAGAUGGUGAAAAUUUUGACAGUGCUUGGGACUCUUUACCGUCAGCAGGUUGUGAAUUCUCCAGUCUUAUUAAACAGAAGAGUUAAAAAAUGCAAAUGCUUAAUAACACUCACUAGCUUGCAUGAAAUUCACCCACUUGGGAAGGCAGGUCAAUGAAAUUUGAACCAGGAAAGGUCAAGCCAAACUUUAACCUGAUCUUAGCUCAACCAAGUUUGAAAAACCAAUUCUAGGGCCUUGCUUGUUUAGAGCAUUAAAUUGAAUAAGAAAUGCGGAAACAACUCAAGAAACCCUCACCUGUCUGGUUUCAGAUUUCACAUCAGAAGGCAACCGCAACCAAGCUGAGUAGAGCAAGGACUCAUAGACAGUAACAUGAGGAGAGUGGAUGUCAUUCUGCUCACAGUAUCCAGAAAUUCGAGCAAAAGUCUCCUGCUUCUUUGGGUAGCCAGAAAUGGUGAUGUUGCCCUCAAUAUAUCCACCAGUUUUUCGACCAGCCAAUACAUCCAUGAGGGUGGUUUUACCAGCACCACUAACCCCCAUCAGAGCUGUAAGAACACCAGGCCUGAAAGCACCACUCACCCCCUUCAGAAGCUCCAAUUUGUCUUCAACAACACCUUGACUUUUCAUCUCCUGCAAAUUCAUUUCAAACAACUCAGUUCUCAUUUUUGGUUUAUAGUACAUUAUGACAAAACUUCAGUGCUGAUAAAACAUACACAUUAUUUGCAUAAAUAUGAAGUUACCUCUGGCAUGUCAACUGAGUAUCUAAUAUCAUCGAAGGUAAUAGAAUAUGGUUGGAAUGGAAGAACCAUUCCUUUCUUCUUGUUAUGGUUAGCCCCCGCAACAGCUUCUUCCCUAACAGCUGAGGAUGUGGAUGAGAUGCUUCUCCCAAUUUCCUCUCCUCUCUCUGCAUGUCAAGUUCAAAUUUAAUGAGCCAAAUAAAAACAUGUAGUUGAAUGACAAGAACACAGGCACACAAAGGCACAUGCACCAUGUAUGAGUUUCAUCACCUGUGGAUGCAGCUUGGUCAAUAGAGCUAUUUCUCUGGGACAACUCAAUCUGUCCUCCAGUUUCGGCAUUGUCAGACUCUUCUACUAUAACAGCUUGAGGCUUAUCAAAUGCUGCACAAUUUGCACAAUAUUAAUACACAAAGCUCCAAUUUUUACAAGUUUCAAUGCAGAGAAGGAAGAGAUACCCACGAUUUAGGAAAUUGAGGCACAAAGUGUAACCGAAAUUGAAGAGAAGUAUGAACCCAAACAGUGCCCCAGCUCCUAUCCAGUACCAGUAUGCCUCUGUGAAGAACCCACGAUUGUUCAAUACUGUGACUCCAAGGGAUUCUGUUGAACCAGUAACAUUCUGAAAAAUGGAAAUAGAUUCAAUCAUCAGUUACUGACAGGCAUAACAUAAACAAACAAAAAUAUUCACAUGGAACAUUCAAUAACUUACUUUCUUCCAACUGUGCCCAAGGAAUUCAUUUACCACUAUUGCGUUUUGCGCAUACAUCAGAGGGGAACACCAGUAACCCCAAAUCCACCAUUUCUUGACAUCAUCUGCAGCAUUGACCAAAUACGAAAAGGAAACAAAAAUUCAUUAUUAGGGGUUAUGCACAAGAAGGUUCUAUGUUUCCUAAAAAAAUAUUUCCUCAUCAUACCAUGUGACAGGAUAAAACCACCCAAUGCCAAGAGCAUAAGUAAAACAAAUGCCCCAAAUGUGUUUGAAACAAUCAUGUUUCUACCAGCUGAUGCUAUCAAUCGAAAUAAUCCAGAUGCCAUCUGAUUAACAAGCAAGAGGAGAAGAUACUGUCUAAACAACCUGCAAUAAGGAGAUUUGUUUAUUCAGCAUUAAUCAUUUUGGAACAGAGAAAACAUGUAAAAGAAAUCUGGAUAAGUUUCUACAACUUCAUAACUUUUUAACUUUUACCUUUCCACAUUUGGAUCAAAUCCAAUGACAUAAUAAGUCAUGAACACCCAAACACCAACUUCAAUAAAUGUGAUGGGGAUCUUGAGGAUCCAUGUGGGAAGAGCAUAUGCCCAUGCAGGAUAGAAGAGUAGGUCUCUUUGCUUGUAAAAGACAGGAAGUUUUGCAAUUGCCAUGGCAAGUUCUGCCAUUCCAUUAAACAUUAUCAUGACAACAGUGAAGAACAAAGCACCCGUAUAAAUGUUUCCAUCAUCUACUGAAUUUUUGUGCAUCUCAGUUCUUAGGAAGAGUGUCAUUGUAAUCACUGCCAUUAUUGCAAGCUAAAAACAGAAAUAAAAAUUAUAAAUUACGAUCACAUAUAGAUAAUUAAAAGUCAUUGUUAAAAGUAACAAUAAUAAUAAUACUCACUUGGGUGAGCUUGAAAACAUAGACAAAUGAGUUCCUCUUCAUCAGCAAGUACUCCCUUGACAUGUUGGCAUCCAACAGUUCCUUCUUAUUAACACCAUACUUUUUGGUUGUCAAAGCAGCUGGGUGGCUUUUCGUCUUGUCGUAUGGAGACGCAAGCUCAUCUCCUACUUUCCGUCCAGUGUGAAAUGACUGGAAUGCCUCAGCAAAUUCCUUGACUGUGACAAACCUGUAAGGCUCUUCUUUACGUGCCCAAUACUGCUGCUGAUCUUUCUUAGAUGUUACCUGCAAUGAUUUUUAAAGUUCAUGUUCUAGCUCAGUUUUUUUCUAAAGAUGGAAAAAAAAUGAGAAGAUACCAAAAGCUACAAAGCAACUUGCACUCACUUCUUGUAGGAAGUCUGCCACACCCUUCCUUUCAGGACAUCUGAAGCCCGUGGAUUCAAAAAAUUCAAGCACGUCUUCACGAGGACCUUGAUAAAUGAUACGACCAUCAGAGAGGAGAAUGAUGUCAUCAAAAAGAUUGUAAGUCUCAGGUGCUGGCUGGAGGAGAGAUAUGACAGCAGUCCCAUUGAGAAUGUGAAUGGUUUGCUUGAGACAAUUCACAAUUUGAAAAGUUGUUGAACUGUCCAAGCCAGUAGAGAUCUCAUCCAUAAACAGUGCCUUUGAUGGUCCGACCAGCAUCUCACCUAUCAGUCAUGCAUUCACAUAAUUGAAUUAAAUUAACUCAGCAAACCAAAAAAUCUAAUUUUUUGGUUUUUUCUUUUGGUUAGAAACUAAAUAAUCCUACCUGUUGUGACACGCUUCCGUUGUCCUCCAGAGAUACCCCUUAUCAUUUCAUCUCCUACCAUGGUAUCUGCACAGAUGUCUAGUCCCAGAAUCUGUAAAUAGAAGAAUAAAGAUGAAUAAACAAAGUAUAAGUUAGAAUCGGGUUUUCUCAGCAAUCUGUAUGCCAUCAUUGACAGUUUUAUGGUUAUAAUACCUUCAGUGUAUAAUCAGUGACCACAUUUUCCUUCUGGCCUUCAGUUGCCGCUGCCUGAAAUAUUAGAAACCAAUAAUGAAAAUGUCAACCACCAUGGAAGCAACUUCAGUACAUUAAGAACUUUCAUAGAUAAAAGAUUCUGACACAGCAUAAAAUUCACAAGUAAGAUUGACUCAAGCCAUUCAUUUUAGUACAAAAAGAAACAAACAAACUCCAGAACAGACAGAACAUUGACGAUACAAAGCCAUUUUGUCUAUGUCAGAAAUCAAAAUUUUCAUUCUGGAGAAGAGUGGUAUCCAUGUUCACUAAAAACAAAUAGCUCAAAUUCAGCAGAACUGGUCAAAAUUUUUACUGAAAGUAGAUUCUCUCUCACCUUCAUGAAGACAUCAAGAUCAGGAUCAGGCUUAAUAUUUGCUGCUUUCUCUCUCCUUGAGAGCUCUGCUAACAUGUCUGAGGAUAGCCAAAAUAAGAAUCAAUCUCCUGGCCUAUGCUAAUGUCAUAGAACUACAUUCACAACCUUCAAAAACAGAGAAAAUAAAAAGUGAAGGCAACGGUUUAGACUAACCAUAUCGAUCUCCAACACCCUGGCAUCUUGCAGAGAAGGCCAAGGUUUCCCGUACAGUCAUUUCUCCGAUAUGGGUAUCAUGUUGGCUGAUAUAGGCGGCAGUUCUCUGGGGUACAAACUCAUCCAUGCCAUGACCGUUGUAUGUCACCCUUCCCGUAACCUAAGGAAUAAAUUUCAGUUUUCAAAUUGGAUAUGAUAUUAAAGAUCUAAAAAUCGAAUAUUCAUCAAAGAACAAAAGCAAUAGAAUUUUUUUUUUCAUUCAACCUUAAGAGUGGGAUCAAGCUUUCCGGACAAAGCCAGUAAGAGAGUGGUCUUUCCAGAACUUGGAGGACCCAAAAGUAAAGUCAUUCUGCAGGGACAAAAAAUGCACAAAAAAUUGAGUAUGUAUCUUCAGGACAUUCUAAAUAUGAGAAAGGAAAAAUUCAGUUGAUUUAUCAAUCAAUUUUUCACUAAAAAUAAAUUCAUAUUCUCACCUUUGAGGUUUGAUGAUUCCACUAACAUCAUGAAGAAUAGUGAAUUUCCUCCUUCUACUCGGAAGAAUCCGAAGACCGGUCAAGGCAUCCUUUAAAACAGAAGGAAAAAUUAUAAUCUGAAGACAAACUUACCUAAAAGAGUAUUUAUUGCAUAGCUAAUGCUCCGUAUAUUGUAGUUACCUCGAUUUUAUUGAACAUAAAAUUAUGGAAUGAAGGCAAAGCUCUGCUUCCUAUAAAAGCUUCUGCAUCGAUGGUAAGAUGCUCAAAUCUAACUUCAAUUUCAGGAAUAGUAAUCCCAACUCUGAAAAAAUGGAAGAGACAGGAAAACCCAUUACUAAAGAGCCAAAGGAAGAUGAUGUUUGGCUCUGGAGAAAAUGUAGGAAACACCCAUCAUGCAUAUUUAAGGUGAAUUCUUCCUUUUCCACUGUUUCAAUGUUCAAAAAACGGCAAGCAACGAAGAAAGGAGGAGAAAUCGUACCUCUCGAUACGAUUCCUGAGCCUCAACAGGAACUUCUCAUUGUCUUCUUCUGCAAUUUUUACCAACCGCUCCAUUAAACUCUGCUUUUCCUGAUACCCAAGGUUGUCUACAUCAACUUCACUGGCCGCACCCUGUGAUCCCAUCAGCAAACCUUUCCUCAACCGAUUGUAGGUGGGAAGUUUCUCGAGGGCGGCCCAUUUCAAAGCUUCCUCAUCAUCCUCAUCCCUUGAAGACCGGGAGAAAACAUCCGCACCAGAGCUCCUCCACAUAGAACCAUUCCUCCUUAAACUACCAGCGGCUCUAUAAAUUUCAGCCGUCGCCAUUGCAACACGAAACCAAGAACCCUCCUGCAAAACCCACCAAAACCCAGAAACCUUUCCUAAAAAUUCAGGAAAAGAAACUCGGAUUUCAAAUUCCCGAGCUGAAAAAGCUCAAAAUCAGAGAUGGGCCUCCUCCUCUCUUUUCUCUAUGCAUACAAUUCCGCCCCUUUCUGUAUUCCAAAUAUCUUUCUGUAU